UUGCUAAGAAUCGGACUCCGUAUCUCCUACAUGGAAGCAAGCAUCGAAUCAGCCGACAUGGUCCACUUUCUCUCUCACCUCAAUCCAAUCCGUAACUUCAAAAUUCCCAAUAUACCCUACUUUCCCUCUCAAGUUUCCCUUGCUGCUCGAAUCUUCCAUGGCUUGACUCAAAAACCCGACGCAUAUGGACUCUGCAAAGUUUCCCUCGAGUCUUGACUCUUUCCUCCUCAGCCUCCUCCGUCGUCAACGCUAAACUCGGCUCCGACCAUGACCUAACUCAAGAACGGAGUAUCGUACCCGAGUUUCUGACUCUGCGAUGAUUUGGAGCGAAACCCAAUCCACCUCAAUCGCACCCUCGAAUCAAGCCUGGCAUCAUACGCUUCCUUCUCCGAUCGCAUUGUUGACUUCUUUGGCGUUGUAAAUUCGAAAUUUGCCGAUCUAGGAUCCUCCGUUUGUUCUCGGAGCUCCGUUUCUGGUUCCAAUCAAUAUGGAGAAGGAUUGGGGAGGAGCUGCCGGCAUUGGCCAAGGAAGUGGCGACGGUGGAAACCAUCCGAGCAUAUGCCGUUGCUUUGUUUGUGUUUCUUUUGGAUCUAUCAAUGUCGGUCUAGUCUGUUAGCCACUAUGAUAUAUCUCUUAUAUCUCUCCGUUAGCAACUAUGACAUGACUCCAUGCCCAAGCCUGCCACCACUUCCCUCACCCCAACUAAAGAUUUGCCCGUCUUGUGACUAAAACAGCAUGCUUAUUUCCACAAGAGAUAUUGUCAGCAUCUAAGAGCACAGUUGAUUCAAGAGCCUUGGUUGAAAGUACAUCUAUUCUGGUAACAGUAGUUUGAGUUUUAUGCACACUGCCACAAGCAGUCCAUUACCAGUUCCUUCUCCCCCCCCCCCCCCCCCAAAAAAAAAAAAAAAUCACCUAAUGCUUAAAAAUCCUCAAAAGAUGAUCACUGGCUGGAUGAACUCACUGCCCUGGAUAAACUACUUUGAAAUGAAUCGACUAAAUAUCUUCUUGCAGUGUCAACUAUAGUUGCUCCUUGUUACUGUUAAGAACUUCCUUCCUGUUAGGUUCUUUCUUGCUUUUAGAGUUAAAGAUGACAUAAUCUUUUGCUAGACAUAUGACUAUAUCUUCAUGAAAUUGGAUAAAGAGGAUUCUUUUAUUGGAAAAGUAACUAAUGUAGCUAAAUCUUUCUUCUAUUUUUAAUUUUAGUUAGGUUUCCCAUUAUGUUUUGUUGCCUCUUUAUAAAAUUAUGAUGUAAUGCUCUCACCCAUCUCAUUUUCCUUGAAAACUAUCUUUUCUACUAGAUAUAAUGUCAACGCUUGAUAAUUUAGUUGGCGGUGCAGCCCCACCCCCUAUGAUGAUAUGAUGUAGUCAUAGUAGUCUUUUGGUGGUAAAGAUGUUAAGAUCCACCCAUGAUUCAUGAAACCAUUCCUUUCCGUGCCAUAGCUUAAGAUUUGUGCUAUUGCUAUUGUUUAGGGGUGGAGAAGAAUGAAUAAAGAUAGGGCAUCAACAUUGGCAUCAGCUAAAGCAGAAGAAGGUGAACUGAUUGAAAGCUUGAUUUGCAGCAAAUCUGACCUGACUUUACUCUAAUAAUGACUUUGGAAUCGACAUAUGAGAUUCAUUUUUUAAAUUGAAAACUAAUGGUGGAUCUUCCCCUAUUUGUACUUUUUUUUUCAAUAGACCUAUAUGCUAUAAAAAGUAUACAAGGCGAGGUUUUCUAUAUCAGCCAAGGGAGUUUCUUUUCUCUGGUUGUAGAUAAGCUCCAUCUUUUGUAUGAGUGGUUUAUUCUUUCUUGAUAGGCCCAUCGCCUUGCCAGUGCCUCUUAUUACCCUUCUCAACAGUGGCAUUUUCGUGUACCUAGUCCUAAUUCUCGUCAAGUGUUUGUGGAAAUCAAAAACCUUCUCCCAAUAGUUCACAGAUAAUCUACUUAAUACAAAGUAUAAGGAAAGCAUGCAAAAUUCCUGGCUGGAAAGCUAGGGGGGUAUAGUGUAAAAGAAGAAAGUUGGGUAUAGGUGAAAGCUAAUGCUAAUUAGGUCGAAAGCUAGUGACAGCCUUUAGAAAUCUUUUAGUCUUACACAAGGGUAAAGGCUUUCUAACCAGGGCCACCAAGGAAUCCAACAGAUCGGGCAAGGAAGGAAUCCCUGCAAACAGGAAAUGAAAUAGUCAAAGUUUGAUUUGCCAAGGCAGGAAGGAGUACAUCAACUCUGGAGAAUACUGCAGCACUCAGAAUGGCUUAACUAUUUAUGGGUAGGCAACUACAAUUGGAAUGGGUCCAUAAGAAAAAAGAAUUGAAGGGUUUGGUUGGAAGUCAUUUUCCUUAAGGCAAGUUUCCCCCUUUGUGAUGAAUCAGUAAGAAAAGUUACUUAUGGCACUGGUGGGGAAAGGCUUAUGGAUGGAAGCGCUUAUGAUAGGCCUAACAGUCUCGUAGAUAAAUUAUAAUGUAAAAUGUCUUAUUUAUGUAAGUAUAAUUAAUAAUAAUUGUAAAUUAUUAUUUGAUCCACAAAUUUGAUAUAAAGUAAAUUCAAAUAUAAUGCUCCAUACACUAUUUACUAGUACAAGAUAAGAUUCAUGAAAAGAGUUAAGUCAACAACCACCCUUGUUAGUAGAUAGCUAUUAUUUGAUAGUAUGUGAGUAGAAUUGAAAUUAUGAGCGAUUCUAGCCGAGAAACCACACAAAAAUAAACAAAUGGAGGAACAAGCCAACUCAUAAUUCAUAAAUUAAAGGCUAACUAAAGAAAGCAUAUUGGUAUAUGGGACACUUGUUUAAUUUUCAUUGGAAAUUAGUCAACCAAAUAUUUCUUUUGUCUUCUGCCUGAACAGUUUGACAUGCGGUGAUAUUUAUUGGCUCCAAAUCUAUAGUUAUAGAAAUAAUAUUGAAAUAAUACUAAAAGAACAAGCAUGCAAGAAAAGUAAGCAUUUGAUCAGAUCAAUCAAGAGAUAAGGUGUUAACCAAACAUUUAUUUUUUAAGUUAGGAUAGAGCUGGCGAGUUUCAUCAUGUAGUUGGGUAUAAAUAAGCCAGUAAAAGAAAAGUAUAAACCAGUAAACGAGGAGUAGUAAAAGAAAAGUAUAAACCAGUAAAUGAGGAGUAGUAAGGCUAUAACGAAGCCAUUGAAGUUAAAUAAGGACGGAUCACAUGGUUUUGUAAUAGUCAGUUUUGAGCUAUCAAGUACAAAUUACUCUAGAGUUUUGGAAGACCCUACUUUAUUAUUAAAAGGAUAGUAAUCUCUUAUGUCUGAUUAUAAUUGGCGCCUAGUUUCUCUAUUAUUAUUCUAUUAUGCUCUAUUAUUGUGUUUUGUUCUUGAAAUGAUAGUAUUAUGCUCUAUUGUGUUUUAUUCUUGAAAUGAUAGGGUUUAAUUCAUGUGGCAAUACUAGCAAAAAAACCAAAGGACUAUCAUUUUUUGGAGUGAGCCUUUUGUAUUGAACUUGUAACAGGGAAAAAACAAUUAUUCAGCGCAUUAAAAUCUAGCGGAUCUGGUUCACUAUUAAUGAAAAAGUUGAAGUAAUCCUUAUUAGAGAACCAAGAUAAGCAUUUUUAGUAAUAAUAAGAAAGGGUUAAAGGCCUUGGAUGCCUAUAAAUAAAAGUUUUUUUCAUUCUUUGUUUGGCGAAUAAACAUGUAGAUGACAAAUAAAAGAAAUAUAUAUUGCUGGAAGACUUUCAACAAGCUCUAACAGAAGCAGUCAUUAGGUUUGUUUUGGUAGCAUCCUUGAAAGUUGUGGGACAAAAGAUGUUAUCGAUCCUGGACCACAUUCGUGGCCUAAAAGAUAGGAAUAGAGCCUUACUCAACAAAAAAGAAAGUGAUCAUUGUGUGGGCUUCAUCCUAGGUUACCGAGGAGACUAGAAAAGUCUGUCAACUCUUUUUAGUUUUAUAAGGUUUAAAUUAAAUAAGUGUUUGUAUACGUUUGUUUCUAUGUUCGGUCUGUAGAUGUUUGUUUUCGUACCUAGCGUUAAAGGCAAGGAACUUUAUAAUCAAUCUUAGACAUGGUAAUAAGUGUCUGACUGUCUGUAGACGUUUGUUUUCAUGUCUGGUUUGUAGACAUUUGUUUUCAUGUCUAGCAUAAGAGGCAAGGAACUUUCCGAUCGACCCUUGACAUGGUUCAAGGCCAA